UGGCGGACGGGUGAGUAACGCGUGGGUAACCUGCCCUGUACAGGGGGAUAACAGCUGGAAACGGCUGCUAAUACCGCAUAAGCGCACAGUACCGCAUGGUACGGUGUGAAAAACUCCGGUGGUAUGAGAUGGACCCGCGUCUGAUUAGGUAGUUGGUGGGGUAACGGCCUACCAAGCCGACGAUCAGUAGCCGACCUGAGAGGGUGGCCGGCCACAUUGGGACUGAGACACGGCCCAA
rnacentral:rRNA from 1 species